rnacentral:misc_RNA from 1 species
UUUUUCUCCAUAACAGCACGUGCGAACUCUUCAACGCUGCUAUUUAAACUCACAUCGACGCUCAUGAGGAGGUGUUUGUUCUCUGAAGGAGGAUUCGUAGAGGAAGCGAGCUCGGUUUGGAAGGCAUUAAGCUUGUCCUGAGAACGAGCACAGCCGAUGAUGUAGUGUCCUCUCUUUGCCAAUUCUAGGGCUAGGGCUUUUCCCAACCCUCGGCUCACGCCGGUGAUUAACAACGUCCGUAUCGCUCCUCCGGCUGAUCGCAUACUCGGAUUUCCUGUGGCGUGAAUCCGACUUCUCUGGCGAAAUCUCUGAGAUUGAGGAAACCAAAUGGAAGUGAAUUUCCCAAGAGGAA